UACGAAGGGGGCUAGCGUUGCUCGGAAUUACUGGGCGUAAAGGGCGCGUAGGCGGAUAGUUUAGUCAGAGGUGAAAGCCCAGGGCUCAACCUUGGAAUUGCCUUUGAUACUGGCUAUCUUGAGUUUGGGAGAGGUGAGUGGAAUGCCGAGUGUAGAGGUGAAAUUCGUAGAUAUUCGGCGGAACACCAGUGGCGAAGGCGACUCACUGGCCCGAUACUGACGCUGAGGCGCGAAACCGUGGGGAGCAAACAGG
rnacentral:rRNA from 1 species